CAAGAUUGAAAGCUGGCGUCUUCGGCGUCCGCAUUGUAAUCUCAAGAAGUGUUUUCCGCUUCGGACCAUGCCUAAGUCCCUUGGAAAAGGGCAUCAUAGAGGGUGAUAAUCCCGUACAUGGCAUGGAGCGCCCGAAGCUUUGUGAUACGCUUUCUAAGAGUCGAGUUGUUUGGGAAUGCAGCUCAAAAUGGGUGGUAAAUGCCAUCUAAGGCUAAAUAUUGGGGAGAGACCGAUAGCGAACAAGUACAGUGAUGGAAAGAUGAAAAGAACUUUGAAAAGAGAGUUAAACAGUACGUGAAAUUGCCAAAAGGGAAGGGUAGGAGGUCAGAGAUGCGGCCUGGGAUUCAGCCUUGCUUUUGCUUGGUGUUUUUCCCAGAUUGCAGGCCAACGUCGGUUUUGGGCACUGGAGAAGGGUAGGAGGAACGUGGCACCUCUCGGGGUGUGUUAUAGCCUCCUACUGGAUACAGCGACCGAGACCGAGGACAGCAGCGUACUCGCAAGAGCGGGCCUUCGGGCACCUUUACGCUUAGGGCGUUGGCAUAAUGGCCCUCUACCAC
rnacentral:rRNA from 1 species